GUGAACCCUUGCUGAAGCAGGACAGCAAGCAGGUCCAGGUGGACCUCCACGACCUGGGCUAUGAGACUUGUGGUCAAAGCAAGAAUGAGGCUGAACAGGAGGAAUCCACCAGUCCCGAGCAUGAGGAGCACAGCAGCCGCAAGGAAAUGGUCCUGGUGGAGGGGCUGUGCUCUGAGCAGGGGCGCCGGGGCUGAACGCUGGCUAGUUCCUCUGAGAGGAAGCCCUUGGAGAAUGAACUAGGGAAGCAGGAAGAGUUCUGGGUAUAUGGAAAGUCAGAAAACAUCUGGGUCCUAUGAAAGGACAUCAAAGAUCUGAAGGCCCAGCUGCAGAAUGCCAACAAGGUCAUUCAAAACUUCAAGAGCCAGGUCCAGUCCCUCUCAGUUACAAGUGAUUAUUCAUCUAGUCUGGAAAGACCCUGGAAGCUGAGAGCUCCUGACACCCUGGAGGGGUCUUCACCUCAUAGUGUCACUGAUGAGGAUGAGGUGUGGCUGUCUGAUGGCACUGGGGCUUUCUACUCUCCAGGACUUCAGGCCAAAAAGGACCUGAAGAGUCUCAUCCAGAGAGUAUCCCAGCUGGAGGCCCAGCUCCCAAAAAAUUGACUAGAAGGGAAGCUGGCUGAGGAGCUGAGAUCAGCCUCAUGGCCUGGGAAAUAUGAUUCCCUGAUUCAGGAUCAGCCCCGGGAACUGUCUUACCUACGGCAAAAAAUACGAGAAGGGAGAGGUGUUUGUUAUCUUCUCACCCAGCAUGCAAAAGAUACAGUAAAAUCUUUUGAGGAUCUCUUAAGGAGCAAUGACAUUGACUACUACCUGGGACAGAGCUUCCGGGAGCAACUGGCCCGGGGAAGCCAGCUGACAGAGAGGCUCACCAGCACACUCAGCACCA
rnacentral:lncRNA from 1 species